rnacentral:lncRNA from 1 species
AUCUAAUUUCUUUGCCCUCAGCCAGUCCUUCCAGUGCUGAAAGUGUCUCCCUACACUGGGUUGAAUAGUUUUUCUAAAAUGUAUUACUGGGUAAUACAUUGGUAUUGGUACUAGGAGGCAACCUAGAGGAGCCCAUUAGUUCCAGACUUACUCCUACUGCCAGCGUUGCACAAUAGCAUUCCUAUUUCCUCUUGAUAACCAGCAUCAAUUUUUCUAGCCAAUAUAGUAACUUCCAGCCUGUUGGACCAAGGACGCCAGGAGAGAAGAUUGGUAAAUUGCAGGUCAACAUAGAGUUCAGUGGAAUCAAUACAUCCCCUGUACAUGGACGGCUGAAAUUUUGAGCAAGUGGAAUCAAAUAUUUGUCAUAUUCUCUGAACUUACCUGAAUAAAUUUCUAGCAGAUGACCAAGAGGGAAUGCAGAUCACUGAAUUCCCCCCUUGGAGCUUUUUAUACACACAGAAUCUCUGCUAGUUGUGUUCCAACUGCUUCUGGCUACAAGGUUUAUGAUGAUGUUUUGUUUUUUCUCUCCAUCUCCAGGUGUUCUCCACGAUGCUUUCCUCAAGUCAUUGAAUCCCCAUGUACAUUUCACUCUAGCAAGAGUGAUAUAUGGGGUCGAGUAGUUCCCAACACCAAGCAUCAAGCCCAACGAUUGAUUGGAAAGGGGACUCUGUGUCCUUCACCAGAAUAGCUGGAGCCAUUAUCCUCCCAUGAAGAAGAUAGUGAAAUUAGAAAAAACUCAACCUGCCAUCUCCACAGCAUUGCAGAAUCCUGAAGCAGCAGGCAGAAAGACAAGCCUUCUCCAAUAUAAAAGUAUCUGAAGUAUAAAAGUUCUGUGAAGUACAAAUUACUCCUCAGAAAUUACUCCAGCUUGAGGAAAAGGAGCUGCUUUCACAAUCCCAUACCUGUCAGCCAUUGGCUGAGGGCCGUGGUGGGAUGGGGAAUAUGUGACCUCGCUGGUAUUUCUAACCUUUUGUGUCUGCAAGUAAAGUGAUUCUAAAGCUCCAGUGCAGUCCUGCUAGGAGAGUCAUAGGAAGGCAGUUAGACGUAAAAGCACACAAAAGCCAGGGGAGGGGCACACAGAAUCGGUAAAGGAAAGGAAUCUGGGUAGCACACUGACAGCGUUUACUAGAGCCGGAGUCAGCAAAUUUUUCUGCAAAGGGCCAGAUAGUAAAUAUUUUACUAAUAUUACUACUAGUUACUAAAAUACUUCUAAUACUUUACUAAUAUUUAGUAAACAUUUGAGGUAUUUCAGGCAUUAUGGUCUCUGUUGGAACUGCUCAACUCUGCUCUUAUAGAGCAGAAGCAGCCACUGACAAUGUAAGUGAAUGACCGUGAGUGUGUUCCCACAAAGCUUUAGGAAGAACACUCAAAUUUUAAUUUGAUAAACUUUUCUCAUGGUGCGAAGUCUUAUUCUUGCUUUGACUUUUCCCCCCAACUAUUUAAAAAUGUAAAAACCAUUUUUAGCUUGCAGAUUGUACAAAUUUGGUCACCAGGCCCCGGCUGUAGUUCUCAGACCCUUUACCAUAGUACGAUCCAAACUGCCAUGUUUAUUAGCUCAUUUGGUCUUCAUAACAAACUGUUGUAUAGUUGUAUUACUACUAUUAUUCCCAUAUUACAAAUGAGAAAAUUGAAGCACCGGUUGGUUAAACAGCUCAACCACAUUCACUUAGCUGAUAAAUUGGACAGCCACGAUUCAAAUGCACGCAGUCCAGCUAGUCUGUGCUCCUAACUACGACAUCAUAUUGUUUCUGACUUGAACAGAAAUAAGCUAAGGAAACAAAAAUUCUUUUACAUAGAUGACAUAACCCACCUCUCUUUACUCAUACUUGAGGCUGUGGAGGAAGUAAAAGCAAGGAAGAAGAACAGAAUCUCAAAUCUCCUGCCUGCAAUGACUGAUUGGUUCAUGGGACUUUGUUGUGUCUUCACCUACAUGUGUUGAAAGUUAAUUACAUGUCUUGUUUUCAUUGUGGCUAGAAAGGAGCUUCAUGAAUAGAGCAAAUCACUUUACGGGAAGUUAUGUAUUUCUUCUCUUAUUUGGAGCAGAGAAGAAAUGAGACUGUGUACCUGCAAAGUAUGGAGUCUUAUUGUCACAGUUAAUCAUACAACCUGCUUUGCUCUGGAGUGUCCCAGUUUAUAUCUGUUGUCCCAAUAUAAUUAUUAAUUCAGGGCUUUCUUAAUCUCAAAGAUUUGGAUGAUAAUCUUCAGUUACAUGGUCAUUGCCAUCAGGGACCUUGAGAACCAAACCGUCUGCACCCACAUAACUUACUGUCUACAUUACUGUGACUUUACCAUCCCACUUUUUCUAGUUUCCAGGAAACUCUUGCCCAGGAAGAUAAAAGUUGCAAAUAACUUUAUUGUUUGCUCCAGGAACUUCCUGAAAAAUCUAUUUAAAUGAACACCAAACUGUUUAACUCUUUAGUAGCUAGCUUUUAAUGACUGCUUACUCUCAAGAGUAUUUAAACUUGCCUGAAAGUCCUUGCCUUGUUGAUGGCUGUAAAUACUAGACUAGCAUUAUCAUGAUUCUUAUAUGAUCCUAACCAAGUCCAUAAAUUGGAAGAGCCAUGUUAAACCAGAAUCUAAAACCCCAUAAAUAUCGCUAUUUUGACCUCCCUUACCAUGGUAAGAAUAAACUCAGUUUUGUCUUAUCA